rnacentral:rRNA from 1 species
CCUACGGGUGGCAGCAGUGAGGAAUAUUGGUCAAUGGGCGGGAGCCUGAACCAGCCAAGCCGCGUGAAGGAAGAAGGCCCAGCGUAUCGUAAACCUCUUUUGUCAGGGAACAAAGGCGGGGACUAAUACCCUGAUGAAUGUACCUUAAGAAAAAGCAUCGGCUAACUCCGUGCCAGCAGCCGCGGUAAUACGGAGGAUUCGAGCGUUAUCCGGAUUUAUUGGGGUUAAAGGGAGCGGAGGCGGCGUGUUAAGUCAGGGGUGAAAGGCCGGGGCUCAACCGGGGCAGAGCCGUGGAACCUGGCAGGCUGGAGUGUGGGAGAGGUGGGAGGAAUGCGUGGUGAAGCGGUGAAAUGCUUAGAUAGCGCGAAGAACCCCGAGUGCGAAGGCAGCGCACUGGCA